rnacentral:rRNA from 1 species
UCCUCCCUCUUUCUUCGUGCUUAACACAUGCAAGUCGAACGGAAGGGCCCUGCUUUUGUGGGGUGCUCGAGUGGCGAACGGGUGAGUAACACGUGAGUAACCUGCCCUUGACUUUGGGAUAACUUCAGGAAACUGGGGCUAAUACCGGAUAGGAGCUCCUGCUGCAUGGUGGGGGUUGGAAAGUUUCGGCGGUUGGGGAUGGACUCGCGGCUUAUCAGCUUGUUGGUGGGGUAGUGGCUUACCAAGGCUUUGACGGGUAGCCGGCCUGAGAGGGUGACCGGCCACAUUGGGACUGAGAUACGGCCCAGACUCCUACGGGAGGCAGCAGUGGGGAAUAUUGCACAAUGGGCGGAAGCCUGAUGCAGCAACGCCGCGUGCGGGAUGACGGCCUUCGGGUUGUAAACCGCUUUCGCCUGUGACGAAGCGUGAGUGACGGUAAUGGGUAAAGAAGCACCGGCUAACUACGUG